CAAGAUAUAGCUUAAACAAAGCAUCUAGUUUACACCUAGAAGAUUCCAUAGCCCGUGUAUAUCUUGA
rnacentral:tRNA from 1 species